rnacentral:rRNA from 1 species
GACGAACGCUGGCGGCGUGGAUUAGGCAUGCAAGUCGAACGGUAGGAUACCUUCGGGUAUCUGAGAGUGGCGAACGGGUGAGUAACACGUAGGUGAUCUACCCUCAAGAUUGGGACAACCCAGGGAAACUUGGGCUAAUACCGGAUGAAAGCAGCAGUGAUGUUGUUUGAAAGGUGGCGUAAGCUGCCGUUUGGGGAUGAGCCUGCGCUCUAUUAGUUAGUUGGCGGGGUAAAGGCCCACCAAGGCGAUGAUAGAUAGGCGGCCUUAACGGGUGGUCGCCCACACUGGGAUUGAGAGACGGCCCAGACUCCUACGGGAGGCAGCAGUCGAGAAUAGUCUACAAUGGACGGAAGUCUGAUAGUGCGACGCCGCGUGAACGAAGAAUCCCUUCGGGGUGUAAAGUUCUUUUAUACGUGAGCAGUGCCCUUUAUAUGAAUAGUAUAGAGGGAGGGAUUUAAGCGUAUGAAUAAGCAACGGCUAACUCCGUG